rnacentral:rRNA from 1 species
UACGUAGGGGGCAAGCGUUAUCCGGAUUUACUGGGUGUAAAGGGAGCGUAGACGGCGAUGCAAGUCUGAAGUGAAAGGCGGGGGCCCAACCCCCGGACUGCUCUGGAAACUAUAUGACUGGAGUGCGGGAGGGGCAGGCGGAAUUCCUGGUGUAGCGGUGAAAUGCGUAGAUAUCAGGAGGAACACCGGCGGCGAAGGCGGCCUGCUGGACCGCGACUGACGUUGAGGCUCGAAAGCGUGGGGAGCAAACAGG